UACAGAGGGUGCGAACGUUGUUCGGAAUUACUGGGCAUAAAGAGCACGUAGGCGGCACCGCAAGUGUGGGGUGAAAUCCCACGGCUUACCCGUGGAACUGCCUGGCAGACUGCGGUGCUAGAGGUUGGUAGGGGAGAGCGGAACUCUUGGUGGAGCGGUGAAAUGCGUAGAUAUCAAGAGGAACACCGGUGGCGAAGGCGGGUCUCUGGGCCGAUACUGACGCUGAGGAGCGAAAGCGUGGGGAGCGAACAGG
rnacentral:rRNA from 1 species